UCAACAUAUGUCGUGGCUCUUUUUUGAAAGGCUCAGUCAAUACUAGCCCUAUAUAUAUCAUGUUGGUGUCUUUACAAACGUUGCAUUUCAAUGCAUUGUGUGGUGCAAAUUUAAUUUGCAUUAUUUGCAAAGGCAUAAUUUUGUGUUAGCUCAAAGAUAAUACCAUUUUAGUCAUUUUUUUUAUUUUGUAAUCACUAUCAGUUUGAUCAACAUAUGUCGUGGCUCUUUUCGAAAGGCUCAGUCAAUACUAGCCCUAUAUUAAUCUUAUGGGUAUCUUUACAAACAUUACAUUUCAACGCAUUGUGUGAUGCUAAUUUUAUUUGUAUUAUUUGCAAAGGCAUAAUUUUGUAUUAGCUCCAAGAUGAUAUAAUUUCAGUUAUUUUUUAAUUUUUUUAGUUAAACGUGUUAUCAACAUAUGUUGAGGCUUUUUUCAAUAGACUCCAUCAAUAGUAGCACUAUUUUGAUCAUGUUGGUAUUUUUGCAAAUGUUACACUUCAAUAAACUGUGUGGUGCACAUUUUAUUUACAUGAAUUGCAAAGGCAUAAUUUUGUAUUAGCUCAGAGAUUAUACAAUUUUAGUCAUUUUUUUUUAACCAGUCUCGGUUUUGAAUGUGUAUGUCAAUGCUCUUUUCAAAAGGCUCGGUCAAUAAUUGACCUAUGAUAAUCAUGUUGGUAUCUUUAGAUAUGUGACACUUCAAUGCAUUGUGUGUUUCACAUUUAAUUUGCAUUAUUUACUAACUCAUAACUUUGUAUAAGCUAAAGGACAAUACACAUGUAUAACUUUAGUCAUUAUACGCCCGUCUAUGACGGGACGUAUUAUGGUAUACCCCGCGUCCGUCCGUCCGUCCGUCUGUUAAUGUCGUACGCUACGUCAAAUAUCCUUUGACAGAUUUUCUUCAAAUUUUAACACAAUCUUAAUAUUGAUAAACCCUGAUCCCCUUUCGUUUUUGACGGAAUUCUGAAUUGUCGUUCCAGAGUUAUGGGACUUUGUUCGUCAAAAUUUCGUGAUUUCAUUGAAUGUCCUACUGUAGCUAUAUAAAAAUGUUAAAGUUGUUAUAACUUUGGUAUGCUUGGACCUAGAGUCUUGAAACUUGACAUGAAGGUUGGCCAGAACUAGUAAGUAACCACUGGACAUUUCAAGGUCAUUCAUUUGAAGGUCAAGGUCACUGUGACCUUGAAUGUAAAAAUGUUAAAGUUGUUAUAACUUUGGUAUGCUUGGACCUAGAGUCUUGAAACUUGACAUGAAGGUUGGCCAGAACUAGUAAGUAACCCCUGGACAUUUCAAGGUCAUUCAUUUGAAGGUCAAGGUCACUGUGACCUUGAAUGUAAAAAUGUUAAAGUUCUUAUUUCAUGUUAUAACUUUGGUAUGCUUGUACCUAGAGUCUUCAAACUUGAAAUAAAGAUUGGCCAGUACUAGAAGAUGACCACUGGUCAUUUCAAUGUCAUUCAUUCUAAGGUCAAGGUCACUGUGACCUUAAAUGUUAUUGUUGUUCAUGUAUCCUACCGUAGCUCAAAUAUCCCCUGAUGGAUUUUUUAUACGCCCGUCUAUGACGGGACGUAUUAUGGUAUACCCCGCGUCCGUCCGUCCGUCCAUCCGUCUGUUAAUGUCGUACGCUACGUCAAAUAUCCUUUGACAGAUUUUCUUCAAAUUUUAACACAAUCUUAAUAUUGAUAAACCCUGAUCCCCUUUCGUUUUUGACGGAAUUCUGAAUUGUCGUUCCAGAGUUAUGGGACUUUGUUCGUCAAAAUUUCGUGAUUUCAUUGAAUGUCCUACUGUAGCUCAAAUAUCCUUCGAUGGAUUUUUUUCAAAUUUCAACACAAUCUUAAUAUUGAUAAACCCUGAUCCCCUUUCGUUUUUGACGGAAUUCUGAAUUGUCGUUCCAGAGUUAUGGGACUUUGUUCGUCAAAAUUUCGUGAUUUCCAUGCUCAUGUACUUAUAAAAUAAACCAUGUAUUCAAAUACAAAUAAACUGAAGUAAAAAAAUGA